rnacentral:tRNA from 4 species
GCCGAAGUGGUGGAAUUGGUAGACACGCUAUCUUGAGGGGGUAGUGGACUUAGGUCCGUGGAGGUUCAAAUCCUCUCUUCGGCACCA